CGCCCGCCGGCGACCGGCGCACGGGUGAGUAACACGUAUGCAACCUGGCCGCCACAGGGGGAUAACCCGCGGAAACGCGGCCUAAUACCCCGUGACGCCACCGGAGGGCAUCCUCCGGUGGCCAAAGGAGCGAUCCGGUGGCGGAUGGGCAUGCGGCGCAUUAGUUAGACGGCGGGGUGACGGCCCACCGUGGCGACGAUGCGUAGGGGUUCUGAGAGGAAGGCCCCCCACACUGGGACUGAGACACGGCCCAGACUCCUACGGGAGGCAGCAG
rnacentral:rRNA from 1 species